rnacentral:rRNA from 1 species
AUUGAACGCUGGCGGCAUGCUUUACACAUGCCAGUCGAACGGCAGCGCGGGCUUCGGCCUGGCGGCGAGUGGCGAACGGGUGAGUAAUACAUCGGAACGUGCCCAGUAGUGGGGGAUAGCUCGGCGAAAGCCGGAUUAAUACCGCAUACGACCUGAGGGUGAAAGCGGGGGAUCUUCGGACCUCGCGCUAUUGGAGCGGCCGAUGGCAGAUUAGCUAGUUGGUGGGGUAAAGGCCUACCAAGGCGACGAUCUGUAGCUGGUCUGAGGGGACGACCAGCCACACUGGGACUGAGACACGGCCCAGACUCCUACGGGAGGCAGCAGUGGGGAAUUUUGGACAAUGGGCGAAAGCCUGAUCCAGCAAUGCCGCGUGUGUGAUGAAGGCCUUCGGGUUGUAAAGCACUUUUGGCGGGAACGAAAAGGACUGUGCCAAUACCACGGUUCGAUGGCGGUACCCGCAGAAUAAGCACCGGCUAACUACGUG